rnacentral:tRNA from 1 species
ACCUGGGUGGCUCAGUCGGUUGAGCGUCCAACUUCGGCUUGGGUCAUGAUCUCACAGUCCGUGGGUUCGAGCCCCACGUCAGGCU